AUUGAACGCUGGCGGCAGGCCUAACACAUGCAAGUCGAGCGGAUGAAGGGAGCUUUCUCCUGUAUUCAGCGGCGGACGGGUGAGUAAUGCCUAUGAAUCUGCCUGGUUGUGUGUGAUAACGUCCGGAAACGGGCGCUAAUACCGCAUACGUCCUGAUGUUGAAUGUGUGGGUUCUUCGGACCUCACGCUAUCAUAUUAGCCUAGGUCGGUUUAGCUAGUUGGUGUGGGAAAGGCCUACCAAGGCGACGAUCCGUAACUGGUCUGAGAGGAUGAUCAGUCACACGGGAACUGAGACACGGUCCAGAGACCUACGGGAGGCAGCAGUGGGGAAUAUUGGACAAUGGGCGAAAGCAUGAUACAGACAUGCCGCGUGUGUGAAGAAGGUCUUCGGAUUGUAAAGAACUUUAAGUUGGGAGGAAGGGAAGUAAGUUAAUAACUUGCUGUUUUGACGUUACCAACAGAAUAAGCACCGGCUAACUUCGUG
rnacentral:rRNA from 1 species